rnacentral:rRNA from 1 species
GAUGAACGCUAGCGAUAGGCCUAACACAUGCAAGUCGAGGGGCAUCACAUGAAGUAGCAAUACGGAUGGUGGCGACCGGCGCACGGGUGAGUAACACGUAUGCAACCUGCCUUCAACAAGGGGAUAACCCGUUGAAAGACGGACUAAUACCCUAUAACACAGGGGUCCCGCAUGGGAAUAUUUGUUAAAGGACAACCGGUUGAAGAUGGGCAUGCGUUCCAUUAGCUAGUUGGCGGGUAAGGGCCCACCAAGGCAACGAUGGAUAGGGGAACUGAGAGGUUUAUCCCCCACACUGGUACUGAGACACGGACCAGACUCCUACGGGAGGCAGCAGUGAGGAAUAUUGGUCAAUGGACGCAAGUCUGAACCAGCCACGUCGCGUGAAGGAAGACGGCCCUACGGGUUGUAAACUUCUUUUGCAAGGGAAUAAGUGGGCCACGUGUGGCCUUUUGCAAGUACCUUGCGAAU